rnacentral:misc_RNA from 1 species
UUGAUCGCUGUUUUUGAUUCAGACACAGGCCGACGAAUGCAUAAGGCCGGCGCCGAAGCGCCGAAGCACGCUUGUCAUCCACGGGUCUAUGGGUCGAAGAAGCCAUUCAUUAAUGAUCCCUCCGCAGGUUCACCUACGGAGA